GAGUCAAACAGUGGAGAUUACAGGUGUCUGUGUUUACUCAAAGAUGAUGGGUUUUCUUUGACAGAGUGGAGUGAACCCAUCUCAGUGUCCGUAUCAGGUAAACCAAAGGCCCAACUGAGUACGGACAGCACAGAGCUACCAGUAGGAGGCAACGUAAUGCUGACCUGCUCACUAAACGCAUCGUCAUCAUCAUUUAGUUGGAAAUAUUUCUGGUACAGAGGAGAAAAAUCCUCAGAGCCUCUGACCAGAGAAUGGACAAAUGGACAAAUGAGCGUCUCAGAGGAAGGACUGUACUGGUGCAGAGGAGGAAGAGGAGAACCAGUUUACUACACAGACUACAGUGAUCACAUCCGCAUCAUAUCCGUUGAGUCCAGCGGCCCAGUCGGCUCUUCAUUAUUUGUGUUGUUGGUUGUUGGUCUCCUCGGUGGAAUCAGUCUCAUUAUUCUGCUGCUCUUGUUUUGGCGCAGCAGACAGA